rnacentral:rRNA from 1 species
UACGUAGGGUGCGAGCGUUGUCCGGAAUUACUGGGCGUAAAGAGCUCGUAGGUGGUUUGUCGCGUUGUUCGUGAAAUCCCACGGCUUAACUGUGGGCGUGCGGGCGAUACGGGCAGACUGGAGUACUGCAGGGGAGACUGGAAUUCCUGGUGUAGUGGUGGAAUGCGCAGAUAUCAGGAGGAACACCGGUGGCGAAGGCGGGUCUCUGGGCAGUAACUGACGCUGAGGAGCGAAAGCGUGGGGAGCGAACAGG